AGUGAACGCUGGCGGUAGGCCUAACACAUGCAAGUCGAACGGCAGCACAGUAAGAGCUUGCUCUUACGGGUGGCGAGUGGCGGACGGGUGAGGAAUACAUCGGAAUCUACUUUUUCGUGGGGGAUAACGUAGGGAAACUUACGCUAAUACCGCAUACGACCUACGGGUGAAAGCAGGGGAUCUUCGGACCUUGCGCGAUUGAAUGAGCCGAUGUCGGAUUAGCUAGUUGGCGGGGUAAAGGCCCACCAAGGCGACGAUCCGUAGCUGGUCUGAGAGGAUGAUAAGCCACACUGGAACUGAGACACGGUCCAGACUCCUAAGAGAGGCAGCAGUGGGGAAUAUUGGACAAUGGGCGCAAGCCUGAUCCAGCCAUACCGCGUGGGUGAAGAAGGCCUUCGGGUUGUAAAGACCUUUUGUUGGGAAAGAAAAGCAGCAGGUUAAUACCCCGCUGUUCUGACGGUACCCAAAGAAUAAGCACCGGCUAACUUCGUG
rnacentral:rRNA from 1 species